rnacentral:rRNA from 1 species
UAGGGAAUCUUCGGCAAUGGGGGCAACCCUGACCGAGCAACGCCGCGUGAGUGAAGAAGGUUUUCGGAUCGUAAAGCUCUGUUGUAAGAGAAGAACGAGUGUGAGAGUGGAAAGUUCACACUGUGACGGUAACUUACCAGAAAGGGACGGCUAACUACGUGCCAGCAGCCGCGGUAAUACGUAGGUCCCGAGCGUUAUCCGGAUUUAUUGGGCGUAAAGCGAGCGCAGGCGGUUAGAUAAGUCUGAAGUUAAAGGCUGUGGCUUAACCAUAGUACGCUUUGGAAACUGUUUAACUUGAGUGCAGAAGGGGAGAGUGGAAUUCCAUGUGUAGCGGUGAAAUGCGUAGAUAUAUGGAGGAACACCGGUGGCGAAAGCGGCUCUCUGGCCUGUAACUGACGCUGAGGCUCGAAAGCGUGGGGAGCAAACAGGAUUAGAUACCCUGGUAGUCCACGCCGUAAACGAUGAGUGCUAGGUGUUGGGUCCUUUCCGGGACUCAGUGCCGCAGCUAACGCAUUAAGCACUCCGCCUGGGGAGUACGACCGCAAGGUUG